rnacentral:rRNA from 1 species
UACGCAGGGUGCGAGCGUUAAUCGGAAUUACUGGGCGUAAAGCGUGCGCAGGCGGUUUUGUAAGCCAGAUGUGAAAUCCCCGGGCUUAACCUGGGAAUGGCAUUUGGGACUGCAAGGCUGGAGUGUGGCAGAGGAGACUGGAAUUCCUGGUGUAGCGGUGGAAUGCGCAGAUAUCAGGAGGAACACCGAUGGCGGAAGGCAGGUCACUGGGCCGCAACUGACGCUGAGGAGCGAAAGCGUGGGGAGCGAACAGG